rnacentral:rRNA from 1 species
AUUGAACGCUGGCGGCAGGCCUAACACAUGCAAGUCGAACGAGUGGCGGACGGGUGAGUAAUGUAUGGGAAACUGCCUGAUGGAGGGGGAUAACUACUGGAAACGGUAGCUAAUCCCGCAUACCCUCGGAUGUGCCCAGAUGGGAUUAGCUAGUAGGUGGGGUAAAGGCUCACCUACGCGACGAUCCCUAGCUGGUCUGAGAGGAUGACCAGCCAAACGUGAACUGGGACACGGUCCAGACUCCGACUGUAGGCAGCAGUGGGGAAUAUUGCACAAUGGGCGCAAGCCUGAUGCAGCCAUGCCGCGUGUAUGAAGAAGGCCUUCGGGUUGUAAAGUACUUUCAGCGGGGAGGCGUUACCCGCAGAAGAAGCACCGGCUAACUCCGUGCCAGCAGCCGCGGUAAUUC